rnacentral:rRNA from 1 species
AACGCGAAGAACCUUACCUACCCUUGACAUCCGGCUGACCGGUGAGUAAUGUCACCUUUCCUUCGGGACAGCCGAGACAGGUGGUGCAUGGUUGUCGUCAGCUCGUGUCGUGAGAUGUUGGGUUAAGUCCCGCAACGAGCGCAACCCUUAUCUUUAGUAGCCAGCGGUUCGGCCGGGCACUCUAGAGAGACUGCCAGGGAUAACCUGGAGGAAGGUGGGGAUGACGUCAAAUCAUCAUGCCCCUUAUGGGUAGGGCUACACACGUGCUACAAUGGCGUAAACAAAGGGAGGCAGAGCCGCGAGGCCGAGCAAAUCUCAAAAAUAACGUCUCAGUUCGGAUUGUAGUCUGCAACUCGACUACAUGAAGCUGGAAUCGCUAGUAAUCGCGAAUCAGAAUGUCGCGGUGAAUACGUUCCCGGGUCUUGUACACACCG